AACCGUGGGCACUCAUUCGUUUUCUAUAUCUAUCUCAGUCCCAAAAUCCUCCACCCUCAAAUUCUUCGUCUUCCUGGCUUACAUCAUUAAACAUGGAAAACGCAGGUUCCAUUUUGUUAGUCAAGGGGAUGUUCUCCGUGAUUUUGAUCUUUGUUUUAGUUAUCAGAUCAAUCAGAAUUGCAAAACUCAAAUUAGUUCUCACAUCAACCGGGAUUGCAAAACUCAAAGUACAGACUACUGAGAAACAGAAUUGCGAACGAGAGUAGAAAGAGAAAUGGGCACAAAAACUCUUGAGUUUCUCAUAUGAGUUGCGUAGAGAAUUCUCCAAAGUCUUAAUAGAAUCAUAAAUUAGAGGAAUUAGAUGGUUUCAUGAUGAUAAUUCUGGAUAUCAAGAUGUGCAUAUUACUUAGAAAUCUUGGUUGAUCACUGCUCUGGAUGGAUUCUUGGGGGUUGAUUGGUAAUUGCUUCUGUAACUUCAUUUUUUGGGAAACAAUAAAUGAUUCAUACCAGAAGAUUGUUACUUUGCUCUUAACGAGGGAUUCAAAUGGACGCCCUGAAUCUUUGUUUAAAUCUUAGGGUACCAGACUGUCCAGACUAACAAAGGUUAGAGAUGUCACUCAAGUUCACCUCAACAAUCAUUAUUAUUGGAUCUCCUACGAAGAAGUAAACAUAAGCCUAAACCCUUGAAAAUGAACUUGACCUCUAUAUAUUUCCUUCUCAAUUUUGAUCUUAGGUUUCUUCUCAUUUUUUUCUAUAUGAAACUUAGAUUGUGCCAGUUGAAUCUUUGAUUAUAAUUGUUACCACUUGAAUUUUAAUUGGCACCAAGGUGUUACAUUGUCCUACACUAACUAUUUGAAUAAGAACAUCAGUUGGGGAUUAUUAUUGAAAUUAUGGGUCGGUAUCAUUGCAGAAAAUCGACGGCAUGAGCCAUUUCAAUCUUCUCUUUUGCUUAUCAUUCAAAUAUCUUUCUUAUGGACUUUAGUUAUUGAUUCAUAUUGGUGAUGGAUUUCACCGAUGUCUCAAAUUCAUUGGAAGUAUUCGUGAAAGCCAAACAGAUUUGAAUCUCCAAAUUUAUUUUGAUUUGUUGGCUUUUUGUUUGGGAUUUGGUUUGUUUUCAUUAAGAAUCUGAGCGUUUCAUUUUAAAAAUUAGAGGCAGCUUAGUAUUGAUUGGGUUGUCGUCAGUUGCAGAUUUACCAUCAAUGUGUUUUUUUGGGAGACACAUAGAACUAUCUAGGUUUUAAUUUGCAGUUCAUAAUUUCGGGAUCGAAGCAGCAACAAGGUUCUUUCUUUCGUACCUAGAAUUCAAUCAUGCAUGUCUUUUAAUAUCAAGUUUCAGUAGUUUGUUCUUCAAAAUCAUGUUUCUUAUUAUACUGCUUUGCAAUCCAAACCAUUUCAGAAUGUAUGAAGCAGUACAAAGUUUUAUAUCUGCAGUAAAGAUCACUUAGCACCAAUUCCAUGUUCCCUCUGUAGUUUUGAUCACCUAAUUUACAUCUUUUUAACUCAUGAUUUCCAUCGAAUUUAGACACUUCAUUUCUGAACUUUUCCAGUGUGAUCGCUCAUUUUCCGGAUGGUAUUACAGGGUUGUUAGAGUUCUAAGCAGCAUGGGUUUUCAUAUAAGUAGUUGGACCAGAUGCAGUUGAUUCAAAGGAAAGAAUGGAAACAAAAAUAUACACUCAUCUUAGGGUUAACCAGCCAUCAGUUCUAUCAUUUUUCUGCUUCUUCGGAGAUUACGUCGCAUUGUUCAGUCGUAAUUUGUGCCUUAUGGUAACAAAGGCGACCACUUUACCACUUUCAGAAGAGACGUCAUGUUGCCCUUAACCGGGUUCAUGUCUAAUAAUCCUCAACAAAGUAAUUGGUAACUCCUUUUGCAGUUACUGUGAAUAAAGAUGUGUCCAGGUUUACUACAACAACUCUAAUUAUAUUCUCUAGCAUGUUGAUCAGUAAAGAACUCUUUAUAUUAUUUUUUUUCCUUUGCAGUAUGUUGAUUAAUGUCCUCCUAAAUUUCAACCUUAAAUUCUUGCAUUGACUGUGAGCCAUUGCGGUAAGAAGCAGCCAUUUCAUGCAUAGAACUCAUUGGAUCCACAAACUUUAUUAUAUGUACUUUGUGAAUGGUUGUCUUGGAAGGCCUUUAUGUCCGAUUAUUUCAGAGUUCACAGUACUAUCCACUGAACUGCAUUUGAGUUAUGUUGUACGGUUUAGAAAAUUUUAAUUGUUGAUUUAGCAAGAAAUGUCAGCACCAACACUGUGGAUUAAAGCAUUAAAAUGAUAAGGAUACAAUGCGCACAGGUUGGGUAGUUGCGCACAAAGUAGUCCCCUAUUGAGUGGAGAUUACACUCAACCGAAAACAGUUUUGCCUAACUGUUCGCAACAUAAUACAUAUGUAUCUUUUUGUUAAUUGCUAGGAGAUGCAGAGAAGGUAAUCAAAAUUAGAGCGUAUAUAUGUCGUUCUUUUCAAGAAUGUGUAACAUGGUAAAGUCACAAUAAAAAAACACUUUGAUAUCAUUACUAUGAGGAAAUCUAUUACAAGUAUGCCUCGAACUUGAUGAUCUUAAUUUUUCCGUAAUGUCAAGAGUGUUCAUUUCUUUUAUAAGUAUUCUGUACCCAAAGCCUUUUAUAAGUAUUUUGUACCCAAAGCCUUAUAUGAAAAGCUGUUUAUAAUGCUAUUGAUCCUAAUCGAGGUAAUUAUGUGCACUCUUCCACAUGCUAUUGGAUCUCAAGUUUCGUAUUGUCGUACCGCAGCAAACUAUGGCUUGACCCAGCAAAUGUGAAUGUCAAAGAGGUGAUAUUCCCAUUGGGGUGUCUUCUUGGUGCUACAGGUACCAAAUUCGUGCUUUGUUUAUCUAUAAAAUGUGUUUGGUUAGUAAAAUGUGGUGUAAUGUUAUUGAGAACCACGGUGUUAUUUAUUAUGCAUAUACACUGGCACAUGAACACAGCAAAAAUAAAAUAAAACUCAUUUGCCAUGUAUUAUGAACACAGAGCAAAAAUAGAAUAAAAAAAAUCUAUCUAUUAUGAAUAUAAACACCAUAUACUUAUCAAACGGUCAUACCCACUACUCUCUGGCUAUGAUCAUCUUGAUCUCGUUAUCUAUAACAUUUUAUCGAGAAUCCCUGAACAAGAAAUUAUGAGCAUAGAUUGAGACACCCAUUUGGCCAUUUGGGUAGGCCGAGAAUUCAAUUCUUCUUAUAUUCUCUAGCAUGUUGAUCAGUAAAGUACUCUUUAUAUUUAUUUUUUUUGCCUUUGCAGUAUGUUGAUUAAUGUCCUCCUAAAAUUCAACCUUAAAUUCUUGCAUUGCCUUUGUUCAGCCAUUACAGUAAGAAGCAACCAUUUCAUGCGUAGAACUCAUUGGAUUCACAAACUUUAUUAUAUGUUAAUUUGUGAAUGGUUGUCUUAGAAGACCUUUAUGUAUGAUUAUUUCAGAGUUCAGGGUACUAUUCACUGAACUGCACUUGAGUUAUGUUGUACGGUUUAGAAAAUUUUAAUUUUUUGAUUUAGCAAGAAAUGUAAGCAACGACACCAUGUAUUAAAAGCAUUCAAAUGAUAAGAAUACCAUGCGCACAGGUU